AGUGAACGCUGGCGGUAGGCCUAACACAUGCAAGUCGAACGGCAGCACAGUAAGAGCUUGCUCUUACGGGUGGCGAGUGGCGGACGGGUGAGGAAUACAUCGGAAUCUACUUUUUCGUGGGGGAUAACGUAGGGAAACUUACGCUAAUACCGCAUACGACCUACGGGUGAAAGCAGGGGAUCUUCGGACCUUGCGCGAUUGAAUGAGCCGAUGCCGGAUUAGCUAGUUGGCGGGGUAAAGGCCCACCAAGGCGGCGAUCCGUAGCUGGUCUGAGAGGAUGAUCAGGCACAAUAGAAAGGGGACACGGGCCAGAAUCCUGAGGGAGGCAGCAGUGGGGAAAAUUGGGCAAAGGGGGGAAGCCUUGUCCAGCCAGACCGCGUGGGUGGAGAAAGCCUUCGGGGUGGAAAGACCCUUUGUUGGGAAAAAAAAGCAGCAGGUUAAGACCCCGCUGGUGUGAAGGUAACCAAAAAAUAAGCACCGGCUAACUUCGUG
rnacentral:rRNA from 1 species